UCUUUGAGAGUUUGAUCCUGGCUCAGGACGAACGCUGGCGGCGUGGAUAAGGCAUGCAAGUCGAACGAGUCUUGUGCUUCGCACACUAUCAACGAAUAACGAAUUAAAUAAGAAUUUAUUAAUUCAGAUAUUCUAAAAAUAUAAUUCGUUGGUGAGUGUGCGAAGCGCGAGGCUAGUGGCGAACGAGGUAGUAACACGUAGGAACCUACCCCAAAGACGGGCAUAGCUCGCCGAAAGGCGAGGUAAUUCCCGAUGUUCCCGAGAGGGCAAAGCUUGGGUAAAACCAGGCGCUUUGGGAUGGGCCUGCGGGCUAUCAGCUAGUUGGUGAGGUAAUGGCUCACCAAGGCUAUGACGGCUAGGAGGCGUGAGAGCGUGGUCUCCACCGAUGGCACUGCGACACGGGCCAUACACCUACGGGUGGCUGCAGUCGAGAAUCUUCCACAAUGGGCGAAAGCCUGAUGGAGCGACGCCGCGUGGCCGAUGAAGUCCUUAGGGAUGUAAAGGCCUUUUAUUUGGGAGGAAUCCGCCGCAAGGCGAGAUGACUGUACCAAAUGAAUAAGGGGUUGCUAAACUCGUGCCAGCAGCAGCGGUAAGACGAGUACCCCAAGCGUUGUCCGGAAUCACUGGGCGUAAAGGGUGAGUAGGGGGAUUGAUUAGUCUCAUCUUAAAGAUCUGCGCUCAACGCAGGGAAUGGAUGAGAAACGGUCAAUCUUUGAGGAUGCGAGAGGUGUGCGGAACUCACGGUGUAGGGGUGAAAUCCGUUGAUAUCGUGGGGAACACCAAAGGCGAAGGCAGCACACUGGCGCAUUCCUGACCCUGAAUCACGAAAGCGUGGGCAUAAAAAAGGAUUAGAUACCCUUGUAUUCCACGCCCUAAACGAUGUUCACUGGCUUUUCCAAGUAUCGACCCUUGGAGAGGCGAAGCUAACGCGUUAAGUGAACCGCCUGGGAAGUACGGCCGCAAGGCUAAAACUCAAAGGAAUAGACGGGGACUUGCACAAGCGGUGGAUCAUGCGGUUUAAUUCGACGAUGAACGAAGAACCUUACCAGGGCUUGAAAUGCCGACGAAUACCAAGGGAAACUUUGGUAGUUCUCACAAGGAACGGCGGCACAGGUGAUGCAUGGCUGUCGUCAGUUCGUGGUUUGAAUUGUUCCCUUAAGUGGGGUAACGAACGCAACCCUCGUUGCCUGUUAUAAGUGUCAGGCGAGACUGCCCGUUUUUUGCGGGAGGAAGGAGAGGAUGACGCCAAGUCAGCAUGUCCCUCUGAUGCCCUGGGCUACACGCAUGAUACAAUGGCCGGUACAAUGGGCCGCCAAGGGGUAACCCGGAGCAAAUCCCAUCAAAGCCGGCCCCAAUUCGGAUUGAGGUCUGCAACUUGACCUCAUGAAGCUGGAAUCGCUAGUAAUCGCGGGUCAGCCAUACCGCGGUGAAUACGUUCUCAAGUCUUGUACUCACCGCCCGUCACGUCAAGGGAGCCGAGAGUACCCGACGGCCCGCUUUAAGCGGGACUACGGUAAGCUCGGUGACAGGGACGAAGUCGUAACAAGGCACGGCUAGCGGAAGCUG
rnacentral:rRNA from 1 species